ACGGGUGCGUAACGCGUGGGAAUCUGCCCUUGGGUUCGGAAUAACAGUGAGAAAUUACUGCUAAUACCGGAUGAUGUCUUCGGACCAAAGAUUUAUCGCCCAGGGAUGAGCCCGCGUAGGAUUAGCUAGUUGGUGGGGUAAUGGCCUACCAAGGCGACAAUCCUUAGCUGGUCUGAGAGGAUGAUCAGCCACACUGGGACUGAGACACGGCCCAGACUCCUACGGGAGGCAGCAGUGGGGAAUAUUGGACAAUGGGCGAAAGCCUGAUCCAGCAAUGCCGCGUGAGUGAUGAAGGCCUUAGGGUUGUAAAGCUCUUUUACCCGGGAUGAUAAUGACAGUACCGGGAGAAUAAGCUCCGGCUAACUCCGUGCCAGCAGCCGCGGUAAUACGGAGGGAGCUAGCGUUGUUCGGAAUUACUGGGCGUAAAGCGCGCGUAGGCGGCUGCUCAAGUCAGAGGUGAAAGCCCGGGGCUCAACCCCGGAACUGCCUUUGAAACUAGGUAGCUAGAAUCUUGGAGAGGUCAGUGGAAUUCCGAGUGUAGAGGUGAAAUUCGUAGA
rnacentral:rRNA from 11 species